CAGCAGCCGCGGUAACACGUAGGGUGCGAGCGUUAAUCGGAAUUACUGGGCGUAAAGCGUGCGCAGGCGGUUCGUUAAGACAGAUGUGAAAUCCCCGGGCUUAACCUGGGAACUGCAUUUGUGACUGGCGAGCUAGAGUAUGGCAGAGGGGGGUAGAAUUCCACGUGUAGCAGUGAAAUGCGUAGAGAUGUGGAGGAAUACCGAUGGCGAAGGCAGCCCCCUGGGCCAAUACUGACGCUCAUGCACGAAAGCGUGGGGAGCAAACAGGAUUAGAUACCCCUGUAGUCCCUGUCUCUUAUAC
rnacentral:rRNA from 1 species